rnacentral:rRNA from 1 species
ACGCGCGAAACCUUACCAAAUCUUGACAUCCUUUGACAACUCUAGAGAUAGAGCCUUCCCCUUCGGGGGACAAAGUGACAGGUGGUGCAUGGUUGUCGUCAGCUCGUGUCGUGAGAUGUUGGGUUAAGUCCCGCAACGAGCGCAACCCUUAAACUUAGUUGCCAGCAUUUAGUUGGGCACUCUAAGUUGACUGCCGGUGACAAACCGGAGGAAGGUGGGGAUGACGUCAAAUCAUCAUGCCCCUUAUGAU